CUGUCCAGUGGGAAGUGAAUAAUAAUGAUAUUAAUAAUUAUAAUAUAUUAUUAUAUAACAAUAAUAAUAAUAAUAGCAACCAGCACACCCAACGUAUUUAAUUCUCUCUGCUUACUACAUAGGUUUGUAAAACACAUCAUUGUAACUUCUUCCUAUAGUCAUAAACCUAGUUUUCUAGUGUGUUUUGGUGAGGAGCCAAGGUGUGUUAGUGUGUGCAGAUGUGUGUGUGUGUGUGUGUGUGUGUGUGUGUGUGUGUGUGUGUGAUCUCUCUAAAUCUAAAAGAAAGUCAAAUGAAGCACAUCUUUCAAUAUAAUCUUUUUUCUAACAAGCAGAGUAGACAGAUGAAAGGCAGAUAGCCACAUUGUUGGUCCCAUUAAGAAGCCCUAUUGGAGGGCAGUGAUAACUGCUAUUAUUUAGCAUUUCUUCUGCCAGCUUGUGAAAGAAGGAUGGAGCUGAUAGACCACACAUAGUCCUCUGUCUUUCUAGUUUGUAGAAACUGCUUCAUGGUCAUACUCUGUCCAUCUCUAGCAAACUAGAUUUGAUUUGAAAUAAGGAAAGUACUCUCGACAGUUUUACCUGCGACUUUUGAAGCCUGUGGAGGAGGAGGGAAGCUCCCAUCGUUUAGGACCAUGGGAGCCACUCGGUUAUAAAAAUAAUUUGUUUGAGAGCCCAGCUUGCAGUUUUAUAAGAAAAAUGAGUUUAUUUUGGUGGUGGUGGUGGGGGGAGAGUGUAGUAUCUAUUAGGUCAGAAUGAAGAUUUUAAAUGAAGCAUAUUCACACAGUUCAAAUUCAGCUUAGCUAAAUUUUAAUCUCACAAAUGUAAGAGAUAAGUUUGCAUUACUAAUAAAAAAUUUGUGCCUUAAAAACAUGGGAUGCUUUUUUAUAUACUAAUAUCAACAAAAUAAAAUAAUAUGAAGGCAGGGGAAAAGACCUAGAAUGUAUUCCCAUAAGGAGUUUGAUCAAUAUACUGAGGAUCUGGUCUAUGCACUUCUAAUUAUUUUUAUUCUUAGGAUUUCCAUAUUGAAACAUGAUUUGGGUAAAAUCUUACCUAAUGAGGGUUUUUUGUUUGUUUGUUUGUUUAACCAAUGACUUUAGAUCAAAUUAAAUUCUAUUAUAUAUUUCCCAUGUCUGUCUUUUGAAAAAAAAUUAUGUGGGUUUUUUUUUAAUAUAUAAAAAACCAAAUAACUGUUAUAUUUCCAGUCAGUCAAAUUUGAACUGAAUUUUACUUCCUGUUUCAAAGGUCAAGGCAGGCUGACCUCAACAGCAGUGUGGAGGCUGCUGAAUUAUUCAUGUCAUUGACUUUGUGUCAGCUUCCACAUUUGUGGGGAAGGAUGUUUUAUUCAUUUAUCUCAUUUAGAGUUCUUCUCUGCACCUGUUUCUACCAUUAAGUACCCUGUAAUUUGCAUUUGAUGCUAAUUUAGUUUCAUAUCAGCCUGGUCCCCCCUUGUUAAUUUAAUUUUCUAAGACCCUUUUCAUUACAGUAGAACUGUUUUUCCUCUUUAAAGCAAACAUCUAUACAAGUAAUUGUAUAAACUGCCUUUUAAAUAAUAUCUUUUAGAAGAUUCCAUCGUCUAAUUCCUUAAUUUCUAUAAUUAGCCAUGGUUUGAUUAAUGUUUCAAAGGGUUAAAUUAAAAUACAGAAUUACUUAAAUGCAUACUUGAAUAAUUUCUUAUAGACUGCAGGGUGAGUAGCAUUGUGGAAGUCUGGAUAAUUCUCAGAACUGUGUCCCUUAGAAGCGGUAAUUUUCUUUCUGUGGAACGCUGUUUAGUUUCUGAAGGGCAGGGCCUUUCAAAUUGCUGCACUCCCAACAUUAAUUGUGAAAUGUUAGCUUUUUUCUUUCAUCAGACUUCUGAUAGAUGGUGGCUCAAAGUGUCUCUGCAACAUUAGUAAUGAUAUCCCCCAAACAACAAGGGCAGAAUUAGGUCCAAUUCCUUGAACUAUUUUAGAAGCUCAGGCUAAUGAAUUUCUCUGUUCCAUUACAGACUUCUCUCUCAUCUUAAAUCCUCAUUUCUGUCUGCUGCUUGGAGUUAGUUUGCUUGGGAAUCUGUCAGCUUCUCAGAAGGGGUUUCAGCUAGCUCUCUGUUAUUUAUAUCUAUAUGGGCACCACUGGUCUACAGUUACCACUUGGAAAUCAUGGAAACUAGGAAUGUGUUCUCUGAAGGGGGCCUGACAGAAAUGGCUGCGACCCUGAUGAGCGAGGCCACAUCCCCAGAAUGUCUGUCAAGGGACUGGCUGUCCUAAGAACAACUGACUUACUCACAUACUCUGGCUACGGAGACCCUCACACUGGGAAAGGCCUCUCCCUCACUCUGUUCCCUGUUUGGAGGGUGCUUGACACAAGCGUGUCAGUAUUCCCUGAGUUCUCUCCAGGGCGAGGAGUGUUGAAUGAAGUAUGAAUCAAGGUCUAAAGAGUGUGGAAAUCACCCACGAGGAAAAUUCUAGCCACAGCCAAAGAUUAAGAAAUCAGCCCAAGAUCUGUGUGACCCCUUUCUCCACUUUGGCUGGCUUGAUCUGGACUGUUUUUUGUAUUCUCUGGGGGAUUCCAAGGGUGCCACUGCAGUGGGCUUCUAGAAAGAUCUUUUUGAGGCCUGUGGAAAGCAGAAUAUGAAGAGGCCGUUUUUUUUGUUUUUUGUUUUUUUUUCCUCUGUUAUAAAGGCCUCCUGGGGACUGCCUUAUACAUCACUGUCAUUGUGGUAAAGAGAAACUUCUAGAUUCUCUAGCUGGAAGCUUCAUUUAUAUUGUUUCUAAGCAAGACUGAGGGUAAAUUGGAAGAUUCUUGGAGCUUCUUUGAGUUUGGAGUUUUUCUCCUAUACUCUCUACCGCAGAGAACCUUUUACAUUUUAUAUCUUUUUUUUUCUUCUGCAGAUGGACUUAAAACAGUAAUGGGGAAUAAUAGAAAAGAAAUACAGGUCUCCGGUCAUUUUCAAAAUAUUUGCUUACGGACAAACCCUACAUCCCUGAUAUAGACUAUUAAAAAAAAAGUUAGAGAAAAACCUGUUUGCAUAUCUAGAAAAGUCUCUCUGAGGUUUAAUUAAACAGCCAGGUUUUUAAAAAAAAAAAAUAACCAACAUUGGUCUGACUUUUGAGAAUGCAGGAAAGGUUUUCUCUGCCAAUUCUGGUGGAUACAGAGACGUCUAUAGCUAGACUCACAUAUCUUUAGCUGAGGACCACUGAUCUUUACACAGACAGAAUAACAGGAAUGGGAAACACUUCAGCCACACCACUCAGCCACACAGCCCUUAAAAAAAAACCACUCAGCCACACAGCCCUUAAAAAAAACCACUCAGCCACACAGCCCUUAAAAAAAAAAACUACUCAGCCACACAGCCCUUAAAGGAAUAAGACAGAGUGUUGGGGAUUCACCAUUGUUUGUUUGCUUGAUUGUUUGAACGAGCAGAGCUCUUUAAGCCUUAUCACUUUAGUUUCUACAACAUCAGGGUUUUUUGGGUGUUCUUGCUGUUUUGUGUACCUAAAAUUUGGAUGGAGAACGUAAAUUUAGGGCAAACAGAUCUAAAAUGCUUUUCAAAUGAAAGAGAAUGAAGCCAGGUUUCCAUCUAGACUGACUCUCAGAGAAUUUGGUCGAGUCCCUUCAUUUUUAAAGAUGGAAAAGCUGAGGUCAAGAGAAAUACAGCAAUAUUGCCCAAAGCCGUCAGUAGCCCUAAAACCAGGAUCAUAAGCCAAGUCCCUGGCUCAGUUUCCAUCGACUUUUCUGCUACUCUCUGGAUUGUCUGGGUCUCACACUGCUAUCCGUUUCACCGUCUGUGAUAUUAACCUCAGGGAAGGGUGCAACUUACACUUUCUGGCUCUGGGUGCUAGGAAGGCUCUGAGCUCCACGUCUCCAACAAGGCAUUCAACACUAGUUAAGUUGUUUGUAAGAAGAUAUGACAGUCCCUGGGAGGAGGAACCCCUACAGUGUCCCAUCCUAAAAUUGUCUUAACCCUUAAAAGUUCACACACCUCACAUGACUGAAACUACGCUGUUCAUACUAUGUCAGAACACUGUAAAAAAAUGACAUUUUUCUUUCUUUUGUCAGAGCUAUUUCAUCAAUAGUCAUUUUGCAGUAGGAAUUUUAUAAAGAGUCUUCCAAUUUCAGACAUCUCCCCUUCAGCAGUUGUCUCUGGCUGUUAUCUUUUUCUGGAAGGUACUGACUUACAUAAAUAUUGAACUUGGUAAUUUUCAGAGUAUAUCCUUCAGUUUUAAAAUUACCUUAUAGUUAAGCCUAAAUGAACUUAAUAAAUGGUCCUUUCCAAAAAUAACACUAAAGGAAAUGAGGUAUUGUUGCAGAAUAUAGUUCUGAAAAAAAGAAAAAAGAAAAAGG
rnacentral:lncRNA from 1 species